rnacentral:rRNA from 1 species
UACGUAGGGUGCGAGCGUUAAUCGGAAUUACUGGGCGUAAAGCGUGCGCAGGCGGUUUUGUAAGCCAGGUGUGAAAUCCCCGGGCUCAACCUGGGAAUGGCAUUUGGGACUGCAAGGCUGGAGUGCGGCAGAGGAGACUGGAAUUCCUGGUGUAGCGGUGAAAUGCGCAGAUAUCAGGAAGAACACCCGUGGCUAAGGCGGCUCUCUAGUACGGUACUGACGCUGAGACGCGAAAGCGUGGGGAGCGAACAGG